rnacentral:rRNA from 1 species
UACGGGGGGGGCUAGCGGUUGCUCGGAAUCACUGGGCGUAAAGGGUGCGUAGGCGGGUCUUUAAGUCAGGGGUGAAAUCCUGGAGCUCAACUCCAGAACUGCCUUUGAUACUGAAGAUCUUGAGUUCGGAGAGGUGAGUGGAACUGCGAGUGUAGAGGUGAAAUUCGUAGAUAUUCGCAAGAACACCAGUGGCGAAGGCGGCUCACUGGCCCGAUACUGACGCUGAGGCACGAAAGCGUGGGGAGCAAACAGG